UGGCGGCGUGCUUAACACAUGCAAGUCGAACGAAGCAAUUUGGAGCUUGCUCCAAAUUGACUUAGUGGCGGACUGGUGAGUAACGCGUGAGCAAUCUGCCCUAUGCAGGGGGACAACAGGUAGAAAUACCUGCUAAUACCGCAUAAGACCACAGGAUGGCAUCAUCUAGGGGUAAAAGAGAUAUGUAUCGGCAUAGGAUGAGCUUGCGUUCUAUUAGUUAGUUGGUGGGGUAACGGCCUACCAAGACGAUGAUAGAUAGCCGACCUGAGAGGGUGAUCGGCCACACUGGAACUGAGACACGGACCAGACUCCUACGGGAGGCAGCAGUGGGGAAUAUUGGGCAAUGGACGCAAGUCUGACCCAGCAACGCCGCGUGAAGGAAGAAGGCCUUAGGGUUGUAAACUUAUGUUGUAAAGGAAGAAAAGAAUGACGGUACUUUACAAGAAAGCCCCGGCUAACUAUGUGCCAGCAGCCGCGGUAAGACAUAAGGGGCAAAGCGUUGUUCGGAUUACUGGGGCGUAAAGGGAGGGUUGGGCGGAAAAAUUAAGGUUAAGUGUGAAAGCCCUGGGGCUUAACCCCGAGAAAUGCACUUGAUACUGGUUUUCUAGAGUGUAGGAGAGGUAAGUGGAAUUCCUAGUGUAGCGGUAAAAUGCGUAGAGAUUAGGAGGAACAUCAGAGGCGAAGGCGGCUUACUGGACUAUAACUGACGCUGAGGCUCGAAAGCGUGGGGAGCAAACAGGAUUAGAUACCCUGGUAGUCCACGCCCUAAACGAUGGAUACUAGAUGUAGGAUAGUAAUAUUCUGUAUCGAAGCUAACGCGAUAAGUAUCCCGCCUGGGGAGUACGUUCGCAAGAAUGAAACUCAAAGGAAUUGACGGGGACCCGCACAAGCAGCGGAGCAUGUGGUUUAAUUCGACGCAACGCGAAGAACCUUACCAAGGCUUGACAUGUUAAUGCAUAGCUAUGAAAGUAGUGAAAUCCUAGAAGCAAUUCAAAGACAUUAACACAGAUGGUGCAUGGUUGUCGUCAGCUCGUGUCGUGAGAUGUUGGGUUAAGUCCCGCAACGAGCGCAACCCCUGUUUUUAGUUGCCAGCAUUCAGUUGGGCACUCUAGAGAGACUGCCGUAGAUAAUACGGAGGAAGGUGGGGAUGACGUCAAAUCAUCAUGCCUCUUACGCCUUGGGCUACACACGUGCUACAAUGGACGAAACAAAGUGAUGCAAGAUAGUAAUAUGGAGCCAAACACAAAAACUCGUUCUCAAUUCGGAUUGUGGGCUGCAACCCGCCCACAUGAAGUCGGAGUUGCUAGUAAUCCCGGAUCAGCACGCCGGGGUGAAUGCGUUCUCGGGUCUUGU
rnacentral:rRNA from 1 species